CUUGCUUCUCUUGAGAGCGGCGGACGGGUGAGUAAUGCCUAGGAAUCUGCCUGGUAGUGGGGGAUAACGUUCGGAAACGGACGCUAAUACCGCAUACGUCCUACGGGAGAAAGCAGGGGACCUUCGGGCCUUGCGCUAUCAGAUGAGCCUAGGUCGGAUUAGCUAGUUGGUGGGGUAAUGGCUCACCAAGGCGACGAUCCGUAACUGGUCUGAGAGGAUGAUCAGUCACACUGGAACUGAGACACGGUCCAGACUCCUACGGGAGGCAGCAGUGGGGAAUAUUGGACAAUGGGCGAAAGCCUGAUCCAGCCAUGCCGCGUGUGUGAAGAAGGUCUUCGGAUUGUAAAGCACUUUAAGUUGGGAGGAAGGGUUGUAGAUUAAUACUCUGCAAUUUUGACGUUACCGACAGAAUAAGCACCGGCUAACUCUGUGCCAGCAGCCGCGGUAAUACAGAGGGUGCAAGCGUUAAUCGGAAUUACUGGGCGUAAAGCGCGCGUAGGUGGUUUGUUAAGUUGGAUGUGAAAUCCCCGGGCUCAACCUGGGAAUUGCAUUCAAAACUGACUGACUAGAGUAUGGUAGAGGGUGGUGGAAUUUCCUGUGUAGCGGUGAAAUGCGUAUAUAUAGGAAGGAACACCAGUGGCGAAGGCGACCACCUGGACUAAUACUGACACUGAGGUGCGAAAGCGUGGGAGCAACAGGAUUA
rnacentral:rRNA from 1 species